rnacentral:lncRNA from 10 species
GAAAAAAUUCAUGGAACUUGGUAAAUUUGUUUCAACUUUUCUCUCUUCAUGUUGGGAACCCAUGACAUAGGAUGUGUCAGUCAAAGCAUUUCUUCCCCUGGCUACAUUGAUUAGUUCAUAAGCACACCAGGCUCUAAGAAGGAAUGAAUCUCAGGACUCUUGCUUGGAGUGCUGGGAUAAAGGCCCUCCCUCUUUUUCAAGAUGAAAUAUGCAAAGUGAAGUAUGCAGAUAGCAGGACCAGAACUUCUGCAGCCAUUUUGGCACCAAGAGGGUGGCUUUGUCCCAGGACAAAGCUGACACAUGAAAGAGUCCAAAGGCCAGAGGCAUGCUGAGAAAUUUGUAGAGAUAUUCAUGUUGAACAUUGAACCUCUGGGUACAGCUGUAGCUAAAGCUGAAACUAUUGCUGGCCUUUUCACUUUGGUGGAACCAUACAUUUUAAAAAUGGUUAUGACAGUUAGGGUUGGGUUUUAUGUUAACUUAAAAUUGAAAAUAUUGUGACUCUAUGAGCUAGCUUUUAUUGCAUAAUAAAGCAAUCCCAAACUCAAUGGCUUAUUAAAAAAUAAAUAAAAUACUUCAUUCACAUAGUGUGACUGCCUUUGGGUUGGUUGGGGUCAGCUGAUCUAGG